rnacentral:rRNA from 1 species
UACGUAGGUGACCAGCGUUGUCCGGAUUUACUGGGCGUAAAGAGCGCGCAGGCGGUCGUUCAAGUCGAGUGUGAAAGCCCCCGGCUCAACUGGGGAGGGUCACUCGAUACUGAUCGACUUGAAGGCAGGAGAGGGAAGCGGAAUUCCCGGUGUAGUGGUGAAAUGCGUAGAUAUCGAGAGGAACACCAGCGGCGAAGGCGGCUCACUGGGCACCACCUGACGCUGAGGCGCGAAAGCGUGGGGAGCGAACCGG